GCUUAAAUUGUGCGGGCUGAAGUUUUAGAAAUGAAUUGAAGUUGCAGCGGCGGUUGGUUGUGGUCGGAAAAUGGUGAAAGAGCGCCAGCAUUAUUUGGAAGCCUUGGCAGUUUACAUAGCGGCAAUUGCGAUGGUGGAAGAGUAUCAGCAUUCAGCAAGCUCUUUCUGCAGAUGUUAACGCUCAUUACCCUCAGCUCUGAAAAACCUUCCUCAGGUUUAUGAAGCUCUUGAGCUUCGGAUUGCAGCUGCAGAAGCUGCUCAAAGGUUGAGGCUACCUCUUAUUUCCAAAGAUGGCGAGAUUCUUCAAGAUGAAAAAAUUGAGAAGUGGAGUGUACUCUUAAGUCCUAGUGUCCUAGUGUCGCAAUGAGCUCCGCCUCAAAUUCAACCAAUUUCAUCACUAAUGUGGCAGGCCAGCAAGUGGCAUUAGUGCAGCUGGAAUUAGCGCUCCAUCCAGCAGUGCUUCAAUUGGAGGUGUUUCCAAUCAGUACCUUGGAAUAACACUUAAUUAUUUAUGGGAACCUCAACUUGGAUGGGCAGGUGCUGUUAUCCAUGGACAUGGCAGAAUUGCAGAUAUUGAUUUCACGUGAGGUCGGAAAUCAUUUAGAUGCUAAAUGUGAAAAGUUAGCUGAUGAUGUUGCUAUUGAUGACAUUGGUCGGUCAGCAUUGCAACCUUCCUUCCAUUCAUUUAUGUUUUUUGCUCCUAGACUUUCAUUCAUCUUGAUUGUUCAGUUUGAAUUUAUAUGCUUGCUGAUGCUGAAGACAAGCUUUUUCCAUUCUUAAUUAGUGUAUAAUUCUAAAACUAGAAACUAUUAUGCCUGGAAGCAAAGCUUAUAUGUGAAGCAGAGACAUAGCCUGGAAGCUUUGCUUCACUGAACGGAAUGGCAGAGAUCGGUUAGCUUUGCUUCACUUUCAUUUCACCCUCACAUUAUUAACGGAGCACAGAACCUUCCGGUGUACGUUACUAAGCUGAUGGAUCAACUAGAGCGUCACUGCUUAGCUCUCGAUGGUUUUCUCCUCUCCAAAUCUCCAACUUGCAGUUUACAUAGAGGCAAUUGCGAUGGUGAAGAGUAUCAGCAAGCCCUUUCUGCAGCAAAUCUUGGUGGCACUCAAGAUGUUUAGGGUCAUUACCCUCAGCUCAGUUUGAAAAACCUUCCUCAGGUUCAUACUUUUGCGCUGUGUAUACUAAAACAAUAGGAUUCAAUAUAAAAAUUGCCAUAAUGUUAACAAUCUUGUAAAAUCUCAUCUUUUUGGUGAACCAUUUACCACUUCAAUUUAGAAAGAAAUGUAGAAGAUGAAUUUU